AGAGCGAACGCUGGCGGCAGGCCUAAAACAUGCAAGUCGAACGGACCCUUCGGGGUUAGUGGCGGACGGGUGAGUAACACGUGGGAACGUGCCUUUUGGUUCGGGACAAGCCGGGGAAACCUGGUCUAAUACCGGAUAAGCCCUUCGGGGGAAAGAUUUAUCGCCAUUAGAGCGGCCCGCGUUGGAUUAGCGAGUUGGUGAGGUAAAGGCUCACCAAGGCUACGAUCCAUAGCUGGUCUGAGAGGAUGAUCAGCCACACUGGGACUGAGACACGGCCCAGACUCCUACGGGAGGCAGCAGUUAGGAAUCUUGCGCAAUGGGCGAAAGCCUGACGCAGCCAUGCCGCGUGAAUGAUGAAGGUCUUAGGAUUGUAAAAUUCUUUCAGCGGGGAAGAUAAUGACUGUACCCGCAGAAGAAGCUCCGGCUAACUUCGUGCCAGCAGCCGC
rnacentral:rRNA from 1 species